AAUACCGAAUAUUCAUUUUUCCUCGCAUGGGGAUUGGUGGAAAGCUUUUGCGGUUGGGGAUGGGCCCGCGGCCUAUCAGCUUGUUGGUGGGGUAAUGGCCUACCAAGGCGACGACGGGUAGCCGACCUGAGAGGGUGAUCGGCCACACUGGGACUGAGACACGGCCCAGACUCCUACGGGAGGCAGCAGUGGGGAAUAUUGCACAAUGGGCGCAAGCCUGAUGCAGCGACGCCGCGUGAGGGAUGACGGCCUUCGGGUUGUAAACCUCUUUCAGCUCCGACGAAGCGCAAGUGACGGUAGGAGCAGAAGAAGCACCGGCCAACUACGUGCCAGCAGCCGCGGUAAUACGUAGGGUGCAAGCGUUGUCCGGAAUUACUGGGCGUAAAGAGCUCGUAGGCGGUUUGUCGCGUCGUCUGUGAAAUUCUGCAGCUUAACUGCAGGCGUGCAGGCGAUACGGGCAGACUUGAGUACUACAGGGGAGACUGGAAUUCCUGGUGUAGCGGUGAAAUGCGCAGAUAUCAGGAGGAACACCGGUGGCGAAGGCGGGUCUCUGGGUAGUAACUGACGCUGAGGAGCGAAAGCG
rnacentral:rRNA from 1 species